rnacentral:rRNA from 1 species
ACGGGUGAGUAACGCGUGGGUAACCUGCCUUAUACAGGGGGAUAACAGUCAGAAAUGGCUGCUAAUACCGCAUAAGCGCACAGAGCUGCAUGGCUCAGUGUGAAAAACUCCGGUGGUAUAAGAUGGACCCGCGUUGGAUUAGCUAGUUGGUGGGGUAACGGCCCACCAAGGCGACGAUCCAUAGCCGGCCUGAGAGGGUGAACGGCCACCAUUGGGACUGAGACACGGCCCAGACUCCUACGGGAGGCAGCAUG